CUAGCCGUAAACGAUGGAUACUAGGCGUUGUGAGUAUCGACCCUCACAGUGUCGUAGCUAACGCGUUAAGUAUCCCGCCUGGGGAGUACGCGCGCAAGCGUGGAACUCAAAGGAAUUGACGGGGGCCCGCACAAGCGGUGGAGUAUGUGGUUUAAUUCGAUGCAACGCGAAGAACCUUACCAGGACUUGACAUGUCGCGAAUCUCAGGGAAACUUGAGAGUGCCUUCGGGAGCGCGAACACGAGGUGGUGC
rnacentral:rRNA from 1 species